CACGACUCUCGGCAACGGAUAUCUCGGCUCUCGCAUCGAUGAAGAACGUAGCGAAAUGCGAUACCUGGUGUGAAUUGCAGAAUCCCGCGAACCAUCGAGUCUUUGAACGCAAGUUGCGCCCGAGACCAUUCGGUCGAGGGCACGCCUGCCUGGGCGUCAC
rnacentral:rRNA from 1 species